rnacentral:rRNA from 1 species
CAGUCGCCACGGUAAUACGUAGGGUGCGAGCGUUAAUCGGAAUUACUGGGCGUAAAGCGUGCGCAGGCGGUUCGUUAAGACAGAUGUGAAAUCCCCGGGCCUAACCUGGGAACUGCAUUUGUGACUGGCAAGCUAGAGUAUGGCAGAGGGGGGUGGAAUUCCGCGUGUAGCAGUGAAAUGCGUAGAUAUGCGGAGGAACACCGAUGGCGAAGGCAGCCCCCUGGGCCAAUACUGACGCUCAUGCACGAAAGCGUGGGGAGCAAACAGGAUUAGAUACCCCUGUAGUCCCUGUCUCUUAUAA